rnacentral:rRNA from 1 species
UACGAGAGGCCCAAACGUUAUUCGGAUUUACUGGGCUUAAAGAGUUCGUAGGCGGUUCGUCAAGUGAGGUGUGAAAGCCCUCGGCUCAACCGAGGAAUUGCGCUUCAAACUGUCGGGCUCGAGGGAGAUAGAGGUGAGCGGAACUGAUGGUGGAGCGGUGAAAUGCGUUGAUAUCAUCAGGAACACCAGAGGCGAAGGCGGCUCACUGGGUCUCUUCUGACGCUGAGGAACGAAAAGCUAGGGGGAGCAAACGGG